CCUACGGGAGACAGCAGUGGGGAAUAUUGCACAAUGGGGGAAACCCUGAUGCAGCAACGCCGCGUGAAGGAAGACGGUUCUCGGAUUGUAAACCCCUGUUCUUAGUGAAGAAUAAUGACGGUAGCUAAGGAGCAAGCCACGGCUAACCACGUGCCAGCAGCCGCGGUAAUACGGAGGUGGCAAGCGUUGUCCGGAAUUACUGGGUGUAAAGGGAGCGCAGGGGGGAAGCCAAGUCAGCUGUGAAAACUACGGGCUUAACUUGUAGACUGCAGUUGAAACUGGUGUUCUAGAGUGAAGGAGAGGGUGGCGGAAUUCCGGGUGUAGCGGUGAAAUGCGUAGAUAUUCGGAGGAACACCGGUGGCGAAGGCGGCCAACUGGGCUUUAACUGACGCUGAGGCUCGAAAGUGUGGGGAGCGAACAGGAUUAGAUACCCCUGUAGUC
rnacentral:rRNA from 1 species